GCCUGUGAGGGAUUUCUGUGGCUCAGUGGUAGGCCAUAGGGUCAGCAGCAGAGCAUCUUCCUUAAAUGCAGACGGUCACAGGUUCAAUCCCUGAAUUUCCAGGUA